rnacentral:rRNA from 1 species
GAUGAACGCUGGCGGCGUGCCUAAUACAUGCAAGUCGAGCGAACGGACGAGAAGCUUGCUUCUCUGAUGUUAGCGGCGGACGGGUGAGUAACACGUGGAUAACCUACCUAUAAGACUGGGAUAACUUCGGGAAACCGGAGCUAAUACCGGAUAAUAUUUUGAACCGCAUGGUUCAAAAGUGAAAGACGGUCUUGCUGUCACUUAUAGAUGGAUCCGCGCUGCAUUAGCUAGUUGGUAAGGUAACGGCUUACCAAGGCAACGAUGCAUAGCCGACCUGAGAGGGUGAUCGGCCACACUGGAACUGAGACACGGUCCAGACUCCUACGGGAGGCAGCAGUAGGGAAUCUUCCGCAAUGGGCGAAAGCCUGACGGAGCAACGCCGCGUGAGUGAUGAAGGUCUUCGGAUCGUAAAACUCUGUUAUUAGGGAAGAACAUAUGUGUAAGUAACUGUGCACAUCUUGACGGUACCUAAUCAGAAAGCCACGGCUAACUACGUGCCAGCAGCCGCGGUAAUACGUAGGUGGCAAGCGUUAUCCGGAAUUAUUGGGCGUAAAGCGCGCGUAGGCGGUUUUUUAAGUCUGAUGUGAAAGCCCACGGCUCAACCGUGGAGGGUCAUUGGAAACUGGAAAACUUGAGUGCAGAAGAGGAAAGUGGAAUUCCAUGUGUAGCGGUGAAAUGCGUAGAGAUAUGGAGGAACACCAGUGGCGAGGGCGACUUUCUGGUCUGUAACUGACGCUGAUGUGCGAAAGCGUGGGGAUCAAACAGGAUUAGAUACCCUGGUAGUCCACGCCGUAAACGAUGAGUGCUAAGUGUUAGGGGGUUUCCGCCCCUUAGUGCUGCAGCUAACGCAUUAAGCACUCCGCCUGGGGAGUACGACCGCAAGGUUGAAACUCAAAGGAAUUGACGGGGACCCGCACAAGCGGUGGAGCAUGUGGUUUAAUUCGAAGCAACGCGAAGAACCUUACCAAAUCUUGACAUCCUUUGACAACUCUAGAGAUAGAGCUUUCCCCUUCGGGGGACAAAGUGACAGGUGGUGCAUGGUUGUCGUCAGCUCGUGUCGUGAGAUGUUGGGUUAAGUCCCGCAACGAGCGCAACCCUUAAGCUUAGUUGCCAUCAUUAAGUUGGGCACUCUAAGUUGACUGCCGGUGACAAACCGGAGGAAGGUGGGGAUGACGUCAGAUCAUCAUGCCCCUUAUGAUUUGGGCUACACACGUGCUACAAUGGACAAUACAAAGGGCAGCGAAACCGCGAGGUCAAGCAAAUCCCAUAAAGUUGUUCUCAGUUCGGAUUGUAGUCUGCAACUCGACUACAUGAAGCUGGAAUCGCUAGUAAUCGUAGAUCAGCAUGCUACGGUGAAUACGUUCCCGGGUCU